rnacentral:rRNA from 1 species
CCUACGGGCGGCAGCAGUGAGGAAUAUUGGUCAAUGGACGAGAGUCUGAACCAGCCAAGUAGCGUGAAGGAUGACUGCCCUAUGGGUUGUAAACUUCUUUUAUAUGGGAAUAAAAUGUUCCACGUGUGGGAUUUUGUAUGUACCAUAUGAAUAAGGAUCGGCUAACUCCGUGCCAGCAGCCGCGGUAAUACGGAGGAUCCGAGCGUUAUCCGGAUUUAUUGGGUUUAAAGGGAGCGUAGGUGGAUUGUUAAGUCAGUUGUGAAAGUUUGCGGCUCAACCGUAAAAUUGCAGUUGAAACUGGCAGUCUUGAGUACAGUAGAGGUGGGUGGAAUUCGUGGUGUAGCGGUGAAAUGCUUAGAUAUCACGAAGAACUCCGAUUGCGAAGGCAGUUCACUGGACUGCAACUGACACUGAGGCUCGAAAGUGUGGGUAUCAAACAGGAUUAGAUACCCCUGUAGUC